UCUAGCUUCCUCCAAGGAAAUAAAAACCCCAAACCCCAACUCAUUUUCUAUCUCUCACUCACUAUCCUCCUUCUUCCUCUGUUCUGUCCGUCAAAUUCAGCACCAUACUCUCAUUUUUAGUCGUUAUUCCUUCAUCAAAGUUGUAUAUCUCUUCGAGUUAUUGAAUUUAGACUCAAAAAUCACUCGAUUCGGAGUUCGGAGCUAUAAGUUACGCCCUUUGCAAGUUUGGUGUCAGUGCUGAAAUUCUGAUGCGUUGCUGCUAUUCGGUGUUGCUGUGUGGGUUCUUUAAGUUCAAUUUUCUCUCUCCUCUGCUUUGGUAAUGCUGUUGUUGUCCGGUUGGUGUUCCGACACCGUCGUUGCUGCUGUAGCUUCGUCGGAAUUUUGUCGAUGUUGUCAUUCUUAUUAAGCUCUGCUUGUUCUAAUUUCUUGGGAAGGUAUAAAUUAACUCUCAUCUCUCCUUCUAUGCUUUUGUUCCAAAAAUUCAGGUUGUGGUGUAAAUUGGUUUAUUUUGAUAAUCUUGAAAAAAAAAAUCAGAUUUUGUUUAAGUAAAAGAUUGAAUCUUUCAUCUUCUAAUAUAUUGACAUGUGUUUUGAAACUUUAUAAUCAUCUCCAAAUUCAGAAUUGCAUUUUGUUGAAGGUAAAAGAUGAUGUUUUUGCCUCUUAAAUUCAAGAUUAGAUAUGGUGUAACCUUAUAUUUUCAACAACUGAAUGUAUGAACUUUGGGUAAAUUGUUCUUAAACUUAUUUUGGUUUAAUGACGAAGAUAAGAUAGUUCAAGAAGUUAGUAAUUUAUAAUUUGCAGAUCCAAGUUAAUUACUCUUAUUUGAAAAAUCUAUUUGGAUGAUUCUUCAAGUACUUUUAAAUUAAAACAUAAUCUAGUUAGGUUUAUGAUUAAACUAAUUGUUUUGGAGAGUUAUAAUGUGAGAUUUAUAGUAUAAGUUGGAUUAUUAGAAGGUUGGUAUUAUUUAGAAAAUCAUCAUUAGCUCAUAAGGUUUAAGAUUGAUUAUUAUCUAUUUGAAGAAUGGUUGUUGAUUAUGUUAUUGUGUUGGGUGAAUUAUGUUGGAGUUCGAAUUGGAGUUGAAGAUCAAGAUUAUCAUAAAUGUUCAUGGAGAUUGCAUAUAAUUGUUCUUGAGUUUGAGGUGUAUGUUCGGAUUUCUGGAUGAAUCAAGAGAAAGAGUUUCAGUUAAGAGAUGGAAAUUAAAAUUAGUGAUUCGAAGUUAUAUUUAGAGUAUAAUUGUUGAAUAUUAAGUUCUCAUUUGAUAUUUAAGUAUUGUUUUAUUUUGGGAUUUAAGUAAAGUAUUAUAAAAUCAGGUAUUGGUUUUUAAGGAUGAUUUGUUGUGGGCCUUGACCCACAGGUCCAGGAUCGUUCUAUAGGUUAUGUUUCCGCUGCAAGUGAAUAUAAUUCGAGGUUAUUAAGCA